rnacentral:rRNA from 1 species
AGAGUUUGAUCCUGGCUCAGAACGAACGCUGGCGGCGUGGAUAAGACAUGCAAGUCGAGCGCUGAUUUCGGGGUAGCAAUAUUCCGGAGUCGGAGCGGCGCAAGGGUGCGUAACACGUGGGUAAUCUGCCAUGAAGUUCGGGAUAACUUGCUGAAAGGCGAGCUAAUACCGGAUGUGACAACUGAGAGGCAUCUUUUGGUUGUUAAAGUUGGGGACCGUAAGGCCUGACGCUUCUUGAUGAACCCGCGGCCUAUCAGCUAGUUGGUGAGGUAACGGCCCACCAAGGCUAAGACGGGUAGCUGGUCUGAGAGGACGACCAGCCACACUGGAACUGAGACACGGUCCAGACACCUACGGGUGGCAGCAGUCGAGAAUUUUUCACAAUGGGCGCAAGCCUGAUGGAGCGACGCCGCGUGGGGGAUGAAUGGCUUCGGCCCGUAAACCCCUGUCAUUCGCGAUCAAACCUCAUUAUUUAAAAGAUGAUGAGCUGAUAGUAGCGGAAGAGGAAGGGACGGCUAACUCUGUGCCAGCAGCCGCGGUAAUACAGAGGUCCCAAGCGUUGUUCGGAUUCACUGGGCGUAAAGGGUGCGUAGGUGGUGAGGUAAGUCGGAUGUGAAAUCUCGGAGCUCAACUCCGAAAUGGCAUUGGAAACUACCUUGCUCGAGGGUUGGAGGGGGGACUGGAAUACUUGGUGUAGCAGUGAAAUGCGUAGAUAUCAAGUGGAACACCAGUGGCGAAGGCGAGUCCCUGGACAACUCCUGACACUGAGCACGAAAGCUAGGGGAGCAAACAGGAUUAGAUACCCUGGUAGUCCUAGCCGUAAACG